AUUGAACGCUGGCGGUAGGCCUAACACAUGCAAGUCGAACGAGCGGCGGACGGGUGAGUAAUGUCUGGGAAACUGCCUGAUGGAGGGGGAUAACUACUGGAAACGGUAGCUAAUACCGCAUACCAUCAGAUGUGCCCAGAUGGGAUUAGCUAGUAGGGGGGGUAAGGGCUCACCUAGGCGACGAUCCCUAGCUGGUCUGCGAGGAUGACCAGCCACACUGGAACGGAGACACGGUCCAGACUCCUACGGGAGGCAGCAGUGGGGAAUAUUGGACAAUGGGCGCAAGCCUGAUGCAGCCAGGCCGCGUGUGUGAAGAAGGCCUUCGGGUUGUAAAGCACUUUCGGCGAGGAGGCGUUACCCGCAGAAGAAGCACCGGCUAACUCCGUGCCAGCAGCCGCGGUAAUAC
rnacentral:rRNA from 1 species